GGCUCUGUGGCGGAGUGGUUACGCAGCGGAUUGCAAAUCCGUGUACGCCGGUUCGAUUCCGGCCGGAGCCUCCA
rnacentral:tRNA from 4 species